rnacentral:rRNA from 1 species
AUUGAACGCUGGCGGCAGGCCUAACACAUGCAAGUCGAGCGAGCGGCGGACGGGUGAGUAAUGUCUGGGAAACUGCCUGAUGGAGGGGGAUAACUACUGGAAACGGUAGCUAAUAACGCAUACCAUCAGAUGUGCCCAGAUGGGAUUAGCUGGUAGGUGGGGUAACGGCUCACCUAGGCGACGAUCCCUAGCUGGUCUGAGAGGAUGACCAGCCACACAGGAACGUGGACACGGUCCAGACUCCUACGGGAGGCAGCAGGGGGGAAUAUUGCACAAUGGGCGCAAGCCUGAUGCAGCCAUGCCGCGUGUGUGAAGAAGGGCUUCGGGUUGUAAAGCACUUUCAGCGGGGAGGCGUUACCCGCAGAAGAAGCACCGGCUAACUCCGUGCCAGCAGCCGCGGUAAUUC